ensembl:lncRNA
CUAGCCCAGGGAAAAUAGAUCUGCACAGCUUCAGCAGCUCCACAGAUGAAAAUGAGAACAAGACAACUGAGCAACAUCAAUGUUAGUGUGCUCUGCACAUUUCACUCUGGACAGUUUCUCAAACCUGGGACAAUAUCGAGCAGGCUUUGCUCAGCGUUUGAUGCUAAAGAGAGAGGCACUUUCAGCUUUAUUGGCAUCACAACCCCAACUGCAACCUCUUCUUGCUUUGCCCUGGUGGAUGGGCACACUUCAGAAGUGGUGGUGACGAGGAUGCAGUGUCAAACCAACAGCCUUGCCACUAAUUUCAACCGGCCUGAAAAUAGGCUUCAAAGCCAUAGCCCUCCAAGAUGUCAUGCUUGGGACACAAAGCCAGAUGAAUCUGGAGCGCUCCAAGAGCAGGAUAGGAACAGAUGCUGGGACAGCUGCUGAUGCAUUACCAGAAGAAGGACCAUCUUCAGAUGUCCCAGAUAUCUUGGCUAAAAGGAAGAUUAAGCCACCUCUCUCUGACCUAGAUAUUCCCUAAAGACAUAGUCCAGUGAGGAGCCUUGCAUCACUUGAUAUUUGUGUCUGCCUUGUAAACAAAGUAUUAUUAUGACGUUGUUACAAGUAAGCAAGUAUUAUUAUGCAUGCAACAAUAUCUCUGUCAAGAUGUAGCCGU